GGCUGGUCCGAAGGCAGUGAGUUACCCCACUUGAUUGUUCACAGAUCGAACUCCCUGUUCCGCUCUUUCCCCCUUCUCAUUGCUGCACUUGACUGGUCUUAA
rnacentral:Y_RNA from 1 species